rnacentral:rRNA from 1 species
GAUGAACGCUGGCGGCGUGCCUAAUACAUGCAAGUCGAGCGAACGGGCGAGAAGCUUGCUGCUCGGAUGUUAGCGGCGGACGGGUGAGUAACACGUGUAUAACCUACCUAUAUGACGGGGAUAACUUCGGGAAACCGGAGCUAAUACCGUAUAAUAUUUUGAACCGCAUGGUUCAAAGGUGAAAGACGGUCUUUCUGUCACUUAUAGAGGGAUCCGCGCUGCAUUAGCUAGUUGUUAAGGUAACGGCUUACCAAGGCAACGAUGCAUAGCCGACCUGAGAGGGUGAUAGGCCACAUGGGAACUGAGCCACGGUCCAGACUCCUAAGGGAGGCAGCAGUAGGGAAUCUUACGCAAUGGGCGAAAGCAUGACGGAGCAACGCCGAGUGAGUGAUGAAGGUCUUCGGAUCGUAAAACUCUGUUAUUAGGGAAGAACAUAUGUGUCCGUAAAUGUGCACAUCUUGACGGUACCUAAUCAGAAAGCAACGGCUAACUACGUG